ACAAGAAAGUGUUCCAUUAAGCUCUCUCUUUUUUGUUUCUUUUCAGGGUUAUUUAAGAAAGUGCUAAUCAAACAAUCUAAAUAAAAGCAUCAUUUUAUUCAACAACACUAGGAGACUAGUAACAAACUAAGAAUAUACCGUAGUGAAUUUUGUUUUUAACAAACAAGAAAGUGUUCCAUAAAGCUCUCUUCUUUGUUUCUGAUGCAACAUCAUCCACCUAAUAAGAUUAAAUCAAAAAACCAUGAGAAGACAUUCCAGAAUUAACGAGUGCAAUAUCUCUAUAGUCUAUCAAAGAAUCUAAAGAAAAUGGCAUUCGAAACAAAGAAAAAAAAAUCUUACCAAGAAUGAAAGCACAGCAUUUUCAGUUUUCCAUAAGCACUUCAAAAGGAAUCAUUGCUUAGGUAUGGCAAAUUAAUGGCAUUUGUAAGCCACAGAAAACCAAAAUCAAUU
rnacentral:lncRNA from 1 species